UUGCCAGACUCCUACGGGAGGCAGCAGUGGGGAAUAUUGGGCAAUGGAGGCAACUCUUACCCAGCAAUGCCGCGUGAAUGAAGAAGGUCUUCGGAUUGUAAAGUUCUUUAAUUGGGGACGAAAAAAAUGACGGUACCCAAGGAAUAAGCCCCGGCUAACUACGUGCCAGCAGCCGCGGUAAUACGUAGGUGGCGAGCGUUAUCCGGAAUGAUUGGGCGUAAAGGGUGCGCAGGCGGUCCUGCAAGUCUGGAGUGAAACGCAUGAGCUCAACUCAUGCAUGGCUUUGGAAACUGGAGGACUGGAGAGCAGGAGAGGGCGGUGGAACUCCAUGUGUAGCGGUAAAAUGCGUAGAUAUAUGGAAGAACACCAGUGGCGAAGGCGGCCGCCUGGCCUGUUGCUGACGCUGAGGCACGAAAGCGUGGGGAGCAAAUAGGAUUAGAUACCCUGGUA
rnacentral:rRNA from 1 species